GCGCCACCACGGGAACUCCGUAAAAUCUAAAUUUCCUUGCAAACCUUUUGUUUCCAUAAAGGUCUCCAGGUUUCUGAAAACAGAUGUUAAUGUUCAUAUGCAGGGAAAAAUCAAGGGUAAGUGCUUCUAAAAAUUGCAAGUGUGGGCGUGGGCUUCUUUCCCGAUGGGAUACUGACUCUGUACUCCCUGCAGCCUUCUGGGUGAACACCCAGCCCGGGAGCUCCUCUAGACACCCGGGCUGGGGCCUUAGUACAGCUGCCAUUGUGAAAGGAAGCCAGGCAGAGAAGAAAGGGCCAAAACUUACUUGAUGCAGAGACAGUAGGAAGUCUGGCUCUGAUUCAGAAUUCGAAUGCAGACUGCCGGGUUCUGAGCUUUGUCUUGAUAUUUAAAAGAAAAACCUUGGAGGAGGGGUCAGCUUGGCACAGAUGUCUGGAGCUUCAUUCAGUUGAACUGACGGCAUUAGGAAAUAGCACUGAUCUUCCUCUUUGAACCUUCCCUGUGAAACCCACUAAUUCCUGCCCACUCUAGAACAGGACGAAGACACACAUUGUAACCUCUUUAGUGGAAGUAGAGCUACUAGGGCUGGUGCCCUGAGGUAAUCAGAGGGCAGACAGAAACCUCCCACAGAACACCAGGGCAGCGACUUCCCUGAUUUUGAUAUUUGUACAUGAAUCCAAACCAGGAGCAGAACCUCAGCAUCUUCCCAACGUGAGAGCUAAGUGAGUUCUAGUUACUCGGAUUCAUUCGGCCUUCACCUCGGUGGUAAAGCGCCUAGGCUUAUGUAUCCUGGCUCUGCUGCUCUGUCUGUGAAUAUGUCAGUUGACCUCUCUUGUGCCUGGUUUGCUCAUCUGUGAAAGGAGGAUAAUGGUGUCUACCUCCUGAGGAUGUUGUAGCACUGAAAUUUGUUAGUAUAUGGAAAGUUCUCAGAACAGCUUUCAGUACUCAGUAAAGGUCAGAUAUCUGUUUUCCUUGAAUUUUCAGAGCGCUAGGCAGAAACACCGUCAGCACACCAUGCGCUUUCGUGAUGCCAGUUAAACAGCUGGACUCCCCGACUGCACUUUUAGGGCUAGCCCACCCGGUCUCCCACUGAAUGCAGCUCUAGCACCUGGACUCAGUGUGGGAGCAACUGUCUCAGAAAGGAAAGCAGAACAGGAGGAUCAUGGACAAAAAGGAGAACUCGGGGCACCACCAACCUGGCAGACCAGAAACUAAAAUCGUGGAUCAAUAAAGAAAAGAAGCGUCCUCCUGCAAGUGUUUCUUCUGGGUUCCUUGAAAUGUCAGUGACCUCACGUCUCGCUCUCCUGAUUGACCCCCCGCCGUGGGCUUGCUUGGCUCAAGGAGGAACCACGGAUUCGUGCACUUCGGCAGAAGGUUGUUGUCGCUGCCUCAUCAGAAGCAGAGGAAGCAGGAGACAAGCAAAGGAAAGGGGGUCCCUGAGCCCCGUAGGCCUGAGAGGAGCAGCCUCCGCUGGAGAUGUGUGAGCUGACCUCUGAAGCUGGACUCAGAACAGGUCCUGGCGUGCUGCUGGCGCUCGGGCCUGUGGGAAACAAGGUGGAAAAAGGAAACCAACCCAGGUAUGUCCCACAAUGCCCACUGAUCCUGCGUCUUUGGGAAAGGGACUCUCAUUUCCGGCGUUCUCAAAUGCUUGAGCUGCCAGCACACUUGUCUCCCAAAUCAGAGCUUAUGCACAAGGCAUCACACCUCAGAUGCACUCGAGUUCAGUGACCGUGUGUGCUCACGUGUCCACUGGGGAGGGAUGGCAGGGCCCAGAGGCCAGGAGAGGAAGUGCCAGCUGAAGCCCACGGAAGUUACACUGGGUCUAAGCGGAGCUAGCUCGGCCUGGUGGAAAUGGUGCAGAAGCAGGGGGGGCCCAGUUUCAGUGCUGUUGAGCCAUAUGACCUGGGCAGAACUUACCCUCUCUGUUUCCUCAUCUGUGAGGUGGGGGAGAGGCAUACCCCCCACCUGAGGGUAUU